GCCAGGGCUUGGGCAAAUGGAGGUGACAGGUUGUAUGGAUCCAGUGAAAUCUCUAUUGUUCCCUUCAGGCCAAAAGGAAGCAGGGCACGCCUGCAGGAAGCUCCUACUGGCUCAAGUCUGGACUUUAAGUGCUUCCAUAAGGAUAACAACUGCCAGGAAUGGAACUUCAAGAGAUUAUUUUGGCAAGUCUUGAGUUCCCGAUGCUCUUUCAUUGCAAAGUAACUCCUGGAUCACGGCUGGUUUUGUUUGUGGUCGGUUUCCUGGUGGUUUUGGAGGCUGAGGAUGAUCUCCACUCCUGGGGAAUUCAGGGGAAGCGUGGACCCUGAACCUCGGUACUCUGUCCUGCUACCCUUGGACGUGCCCCUUCACCAAAGGGCAGCCAUGGCACGAGGACCCUUAGGACACCAGGGACACAGCUAAGAACUGGAAGCGAAAGGAAACGAGGGAAGCAGUAUGUCCUCACCUCCACCACCACUGCCAAGGCACUGCCAAAGCUGUCCUGGACCUAGGGCACGGAGGGGUGCUUCGCUGGGACUUGGCGGCCUUCCAGGACUGACCAGGAGACACAAGGCCAAAAGGAAGCAGGGCACGCCUGCAGGAAGCUCCUACUGGCUCAAGUCUGGACUUUAAGUGCUUCCAU
rnacentral:lncRNA from 1 species